rnacentral:tRNA from 1 species
UGGGGGAUCGUCUAGUGGUAGGACAGCGGACUCUGAAUCCGUCAGCCGUGGUUCGAAUCCACGUCCCCCAGCCU